UCAUUUGAGGUCAGGAGCUCGAGACCAGCUUGGCCAACAUGCGUAUCCAGCGAUCUAGCUGUCAUCGGUCUAUUCAGUCAUCUGCUUAACCAACUGAAAUGUACACGUACCUGCCAGAAAUGAAGGAGGCAUAUAGGCCAGGCAGCCAUUUGAUUGAACACUCAACUGUACAAUAGAGGAUUCUUCCUGGUGCAAGUAACAUAAAACAUGACUCAAACCAUCUUAAGCAAAAAAUGAAAAAAAAAAAUGUACAGGCUUUCUUUACACAAAGUGUAGGGGCAGGUCCAAUUUCAAGUACAGCAUGAUGCAAGGGUCCAAUGACAUCAUCUAAAUCCUGUGUGUCUCUGUCUCCCCCUCUUCCCUCUUUCCCCGCAUUGGCUUCAUUCUCCAGCUCCAAUGCCAAUGGUUGCUGGCCCCAUGUCCCUUCAAGUUCAAGUCCAGGGGAAAUAUGAAGAGCCCCAGCACAAGUCUCACUGCGUCUCAUUGUUUCAGGCCACCCUUUCUGAAGGAGUCGAUCCCCUGUCCCUUGUUACUCCUAUUUCCCAUUGCUCUGUUUUAUUUUCUUCAAAACACUUAUUGCCUAUUGAAAUUAUGCUAAGUA